CACACACACACACACACACACACACACACACACACACACACACACACACACACUCUCCAUCUCUGUCAUUACCCUGUCUCAUGUUAAUCAGCUGUGUCCUUGUGGGCGCCACCUCAGGACACUCCAACUCCCAUCAGCCACCACGUCUGUCUCACAUUACUAAUCCCAGCAUGCCAUCCCUGGGGGCAAUUAAGCUUUCAAUUAUUUUUAUACCUCUGAGUCAUGGGAAAGCCAUGGGUUACAGUGAAACUCGCUAUCUGUUAAUGAGAGGAGGGUUAUGGUGAAACUACCACCCCCGUAAUUACUAAUAGUACUACCUAAUCACUCUCUGUUAAUAAGAGGAGGGUUAUGGUGAAACCAGCCCCCCUGUAAUUACUAAUAGUACUACCUAAUCACUCUUUGUUAAUAAGAGGAGGGUUAUGGUGAAACUAGUACCCCCGUAAUUACUAAUAGCACUACCUAAUCACUCUCUGUUAAUGAGAGGAGGGUUAUGGUGAAACUAGUACCCCCGUAAUUACUAAUAGCACUACCUAAUCACUCUCUGUUAAUGAGAGGAGGGUUAUGGUGAAACUAGUACCCCCGUAAUUACUAAUAGCACUACCUAAUCACUCUCUGUUAAUGAGAGGAGGGUUAUGGUGAAACUCAUUCCCUUAAUGACUGUGCUACCUAGGCCAUGGGAGUCAGUUGAGAGGUUACAGUGAAAAGUGUCUCAGCCUGUUUUAUUUAGUCACCCUCCAUGUCCCUAUGAUAGAUGUACACAUGCUCACGGGGACACACACACGCUUACGGGGACACACACACAAAUGUGUGUAUUUUAGGCAUGUAGAGCAGGGCGUGAUUACAAGUGGUGGCCAUGCAACAGCUGUGAGGAGAAAAGGAGUUGAGGAAGAGAGGAGAGAAGAAAACAGGAGAAGAAGAGGAGGACAGGAGAAGAGGAGGACAGGAGAAGAGGAGGACAGGAGGACAGGAGGACAGGAGAAGAGGAGAACAGAUGUGAGAAGAGGAGGACAGGAGAAGAGGAGGACAGGAGAUGGGGAGGACAGGAGUGAGAAGAGGAGGACAGGUGAAGAGGACAGGAGUGAGAAGAGGAGGACAGGAGUGAGAAGAGGAGGACAGGAGAAGAGGAGGAUAGGAGAAGAGGAGGACAGGAGUGAGAAGAGGAGGACAGGAGAAGAGGAGGAUAGGAGAAGAGGAGGACAGGAGUGAGAAGAGGAGGACAGGAGAAGAGGAGGACAGGAGUGAAAAGAGGAGGACAGGAGAAGAGGAGGACAAGAGUGAGAAGAGGAGGACAGGAGUGAGAAGAGGAGUACAGGAGUGAGAAGAGGAGUACAGGAGUAAGAAGAGGAGGACAGGAGUGAGAAGAGGAGGACAGGAGAAGAGGAGGACAGGAGUGAGAAGAGGAGGACAGGAGAAGAGGAGAACACGAGUGAGAAGAGAAAGACAGGAGUGAGAAGAGGAGAACCGGAGUGAGAAGAGAAGGACAGGAGAAGAAAAGGAGGACAGGAGUGAGAAAAGGAGUACAGGAGUGAGAAGAGGAGGACAGGAGAAGAGGAGGACAGGAGUGAGAAGAGGAGUACAGGAGUAAGAAGAGGAGGACAGGAGAAGAGGAGAACACGAGUGAGAAGAGAAAGACAGGAGUGAGAAGAGGAGAACCGGAGUGAGAAGAGAAGGACAGGAGAAGAAGAGGAGGACAGGAGUAAGAAGAGGAGGACAGGAGAAGAGGAGAACAGGAGUGAGAAGAGGAGGACAGGAGUAAGAAGAGGAGAACCGGAGUGAGAAGAGAAGGACAGGAGAAGAAGAGGAGGACAGGAGUAAGAAGAGGACAGCCAAAUAACCCUUCCAGUUGUCCAAACUCCAGUUGUUCAAACUCGAGGGCCUAUUCAGUGGGGUGCACCGUUCAGGGCUUUAAUUCACACCGUGUCUCGGAGUAGGAGUGAUGACCUAGGACCAGUUAAAUAAAACGGGGUGCCCUGAUCAUAGAUCGUCUUCUCUGAGACACUUAGUGAACGCAGGACCAUAACAUCACAUAUCUACAUUUGAGAGACAUGGACUAAACGUUCCCCAAUUACCCAAAUGAACCCUCUAUCAUUGGACCCUUCUUCUUACAGUCAAGCACCACAUUUUCAUUUCUCCCCAUGAAACUCCGUUGCUGUCCUGACAGGCCUUUUACUCAUGCCAUUACACAUUCUGAUGGCCACAAGCCAACAGACUACAGACGACAAAGUCCAACGAUGUAAUUCCUACAGAGUUGCCAUCAUGGCUAGUUUUUGAGCAAUCACAAAGUUUUAAAUAUGUUUGUUAGAGGUUAAAGUUUGUUUUCCUGUGUAGUUGGAUGCAGCCUGUAUUUAGAGUGGGUGUAGUACAUUUACAGAGCAGCUAUUAGGGAUGAUGGCUUCUCAGUAUUAUCACG
ensembl:lncRNA